AUUGAACGCUGGCGGCAUGCCUUACACAUGCAAGUCGAACGGUAACGCGGGGCAACCUGGCGACGAGUGGCGAACGGGUGAGUAAUGUAUCGGAACGUGCCCAGUUGUGGGGGAUAACUGCUCGAAAGAGCAGCUAAUACCGCAUACGACCUGAGGGUGAAAGCGGGGGAUCGCAAGACCUCGCGCAAUUGGAGCGGCCGAUAUCAGAUUAGGUAGUUGGUGGGGUAAAGGCCCACCAAGCCAACGAUCUGUAGCGGGUUUGAGAGGACGACCAGGCAAACUGGGACUGAGACACGGCCCAGGAUCCGACUGGAGGCAGCAGUGGGGAAUUUUGAACAAUGGACGCAAGGCUGAUCAAGCCAUGCCGCGUGCGUGAAGAAGGCCUUCGGGUUGUAAACCGCUUUUGUCAGGGCAGAAAAGGGCGACUCUAAUACAGUUGCCUCAUGACGGUACCUGAAGAAUAAGCACCGGCUAACUACGUGCCAGCCGCCGCAGUAAAAC
rnacentral:rRNA from 1 species